rnacentral:rRNA from 1 species
UACGAAGGUGGCAAGCGUUGUUCGGAUUUACUGGGCGUAAAGGGAGCGUAGGUGGUUAGGUAAGCCCUCCGGGAAAUCUUCAGGCUUAACCUGAAAAGGUCGGGGGGGACUGCCUGGCUAGAGGACGGGAGAGGAGCGCGGAAUUCCCGGUGUAGCGGUGAAAUGCGUAGAGAUCGGGAGGAAGGCCGGUGGCGAAGGCGGCGCUCUAGAACGUUUCUGACACUGAGGCUCGAAAGCGUGGGGAGCAAACAGG